ensembl:lncRNA
UUGGAACAAAACAAGUUGGAACAAAACGAGUUGGGACAAAACAAGUUGGAACAAAACGAGUUGGGACAAAACGAGUUGGGACAAAACAAGUUGGGACAAAACAAGUUGGGACAAAACAAGNNNNNNNNNNGACAAAACAAGUUGGGACAAAACAAGUUGGGACAAAACAAGUUGGGAAAGGAUGAGCGAACAACAUUUAGUACACAUUCACAUAAAAAAAAGAAGCUUAAUUUUAGUCUAAAAAAAAUUGGAAUAAAUACCGAUUUUAUAAAAAAUUAUGCGCACAAAAUAAAAGAACAAAAUUAUACUAUUAAUAAUAUGAUUACCAUUUUUCGUUUUAUGGAAAAAAAAGUAAGAAGAUUUUUAUUUUUUUUUAAAUACAUAUAUAAUUUUAUAUGGAACGAAAUUAAAAAAGAAAAAGAAAAAUAUAAAAGAGAGUUACAAAAAAAAAUUAAAUAUAUAUUACUUGACAUGUUUGUGAAGUAUACAAAAUUGUUAGUGAUAUAUAAAGAAUAUUAUAAAGUGCAUAAUAUGGGUUGUAGUAGUAUGAUCAAUACCAAUGUAAAUAGUGAAAACUCCUAUUUUAACGAGUUUGAAUUAUAUAUGAAAUCCUUCGAACAAAUUAUUUUUUUAAUUUUAUCAUACGCUCCAAAUAAUUUACUAACAAAAUUAGAACAGUGCAUAAACAAUACAACAAAAUUGUUUGAAAUGAAUUUAAUUGAAAAAUACGAAUUUGUAGAUUUUAACAAAAUGCUUUUUUAUAACAUAGGAAUAGGAACAUAUAAGGAAGUAUCUAUUUCGUCAAAAAGUAAUGUAUCUUCUGAAAAACCGAACAGUAGAACUAAAAUUUUUAAAGAGAAUUACGGCAUAAAUAAUAUGUUUUGUACACCUCCUAAAGAUUGUACAAGUGUUAUUAGUGCCAAAAGUUGGUACAGUGACAGGAGUUCUAUAAGUCGGAUGAGUAAACAUAGUGGUCAUAACACUAUGUUAAAGAAAUCUCUAAAUUUAGAAGAAAAAAUGGAUUAUACAUUUACAAGUUCUAUUAAAAAGGAUAUAAGUAAAGUUUACACCGGUUAUAAUAAUCUAACUAUAUCAAGUAUUGAAACUGAUUUUAGUUCUAAUACAUUUAAUAGAAAUAACCAAAAUAAUUACCAACACGAUGUGUUUUCUUUUUCUUAUGACAUAAUCUUACUAAACAUUUUAGGUACCAUAUAUUUAAACAUAAUGGAAGAAAUAGCUAAAAAUAAAUAUAAAUAUAUUUAUUUCACUUACUCAACUAUACAUGUUGAAUUUUUGAAAGUCUUACAACAUGUUUUGAUUAAUAUGACUAAAAGUCAUUGGAAAAAAAAAAAAAAAAAAAAAAAAGAAGAAGAAGAAGAAGAAGAAGAAGAAGAAGAAGAAGAAGAAGAAGAAGAAAAAAAAAAAAAAGAACAUACAAAUGAGUGUCCAGACGGACGCCCAGACGAGCUAAUGUCCGAUACUAAUAAAACGAAAAAAUCAAGCGUGUUGGAUCAUUACUUCUGCUUUCCCUAUAAGUUAUUGGCAUUUUUACUCAUAUUCCAAUUACACUGUUUUAUGAAUAACAUUUUAAAUAAAUACAAGAUAUGUACUAGUAUCCUCGAAUUUGUGUUUUAUAUUAGCUCUUCUUUAAAUCCUUUUUUUUUUUAUAUUUCUAAAAAGAUUUGGAAAGAAUUAGGAAUUGGUAUAAAUAAAUAUAACAAUAUAGUUUGUGUAUCUGUUUUAACAAAUAUAUUUUUUAAUUUAUUAUCAAAAAAAAAAAAAAAUAUUAUCGAAAACAAGCAGGACCAAUUAUUUAUUAAUAACAUUAAAAGCACAAGUAAACAAUAUUUAUUAUAUUUAUUUUUAAAAAAACAAAUAGUUUUAAAUACUGUUGGAAAAAAUUAUUUAUUUUUUUAUCAUAUCGUAAUCAAACAAAUACAAUCAGAAGAGUUAAUAUUAUUAAUAAUUCGAAACAUAUUAAUCAAAUAUCAUGAAAAUAUACAAUACACUUUAAAUAUUUUAUUAACAUAUGUAAAUGCAUUAGAAAAUAGUGUGAACAGAGCAAUGGGUUUGAAUAAUACAAAAAACGAACAAACACAAACCAGUUUUGAAAUUCGAAAUGUAGAACAAAAUAUUAUAAUUAAAGAACACAGUGUUAAUCACUUAGAAAUGGAUAAAAAAAAUAUGACCCAUAACAAUGGAAAAGAUACAAAAACAAAUGUAAAUACCGGUUGCGAUUUAGAAAAAUUAAAUUUCCAUUUAUUUCAAGAAAAUAAUAAAAAAAAUAAUAAAGAGAGUAAUAAAGAGAGUAAUAAAGAGAGUAAUAAAGAGAAUUAUAAAAAUAAAUUCGAAGAAAACAAAAUAAUAUCAUUUUUUAUUUAUUUUGAUAUUAUUAAAAAUUUACCUGAAAGAUAUUUUUACCUAAUUAAAGAUACAAAUUUUAUGAUGGAUAUUCACAAUGUGUUUAACUUUUUUAUUUAUAUAAAUAAGGAAUAUAAUAUUUUAGAAAAAAAAUAUGAAAAAUAUAAAUAUACGAAAAUUUUUAAUAAAAUUAAAGAAAAAAAAGAUUAUUAUUAUUAUAAUAAAGCUAAAAUAUAUUUUCCCAUAAUUAUAUCAGCUUUAACAUCUUCAACUUUAUAUUUUAUUCUAAAUAAAACAACCAUCUCAAUACAACAUUCAUUAAUUACGCAAUUUUAUAUUGAUUUUUUUAGUAAUAAAUAUUUAUAUACCCUAUGUAAUAACUAUAUUUAUAUACAAAUUUUAUGUGAAUCUUUAGUAGUGUUAUUGUACUUGAGCAAAUCAAAACAAGACACUACACAUAUACAAAAUGGAACUACCCACAUAAAAGGCGACACUACACACAUACAAGACGACACUAUACACAUACAAGAUAAUUACAAACAAGAGUUUAUAAAAAAUGAAUUAGAUAUACAAACAGUAAAACAACAGAAAGGUGAACAUAUGUUAAUACAAUCUUAUCAAGGAAUAAAACAAGAAUCUACAAAUCCAUUAGUUUGUAUGAAAAUAGAAAAUGAGUAUUUAAAUAGUACCAAUGAUAACAUUACUAAUGUCAGUGCAAACCAUGAUACAACAAAAAAUGUUGCUGCAACAAAUUUAAUACAUCUAUAUAAAUUAUAUACCAUUUUUUUAGAAGAAUAUUUAUAUAAUUUUAUUUCUUCAAUUAUAACACUAAUUAAAAAUAAUAGUUUAUUAUUAAACGAAUCAAGUUUUUGUAAUUUUUAUAAAACUAUAUGUAAUGAAUUAAACAAUAAAAUAAAACAAAAUAAUACAUCACAUUUUAAUACAUUAAUACUUUCAAUUCUUAAUUAUUAUGAUUCUUACAAUACAAAUACCAACUCGUUUAAAAAAUAUAAAGUAGAUAACAGAAUAAUAGAAAUAUGUGAUAUAAAAAACAAUAUUAAAAUGUUACAGAGAGUAAGAUAUAAUUUUUUAAAUACAUUUUAUCAGAAUACUCUUUCUUGCGAAUUAUAUUCAAAAGCUUAUUUAAAAAAUAUUAUUUCUGUUUUUUUUCAAAACAACAUUAAAACGUGUAAGUUGGGUAGCCAGGAUAUGGAUGGCUUAGUAAAUUUGGUUUUUAACAAUUUCCACAAAUAAGUAAAAAAAAAAAAAAAAAAAAAAAAAAAAUAGGUAUGCAAAAUAAGUUUUUUUUUUUAUUUAUUUAUUUAUUUAUUUUUUUUUUUUUUUAUUUUAUUUAUUUUUUUUUGUUAUCCACGUCUUUUCAAUAACCCCACCCCCUCUAAAAACAUACUAUGCAAUAAAUAUAUAUUGCAUAGUAUAAACA